rnacentral:rRNA from 1 species
CACGUAGUUAGCCGGUGCUUAUUCUUACGGUACCGUCAUGGACCCUCUUUAUUAGAAAGAGUCUUUUCGUUCCGUACAAAAGCAGUUUACAACCCGAAGGCCUUCAUCACUCACGCGGCAUGGCUGGAUCAGGCUUGCGCCCAUUGUCCAAUAUUCCCCA